CACACACAAACCCUAGAAAUUCGACGACUCUACGAUCUUCCUCCGACGAUUGAAUCAUCGUCGUCAACAGGAGCAAACCGCGCCAUCUAACCAUGAAGGACUGAAUCGCCCCGUCUCCUUCCCAAAACGCGCUGACAUCUCCCUAUGAAAACCGUAGUCGACGAUGCUUAGAAUAGCGGUCAGAAGCUACAACAAAAGAUCGACGUAGGAAUCAAACUGAAAACCCUAGACUGAGAAAUACCGCCGAACCAAACGGAAUACGACCGAUUUCAGAUUCAUAGACCCAAUGGUCGGCUUUCGACCAUUAGAGAUGGAGAACGCGAACGGUCGCCAACUCAAACAUCGGCUCUCAGGUUACAACAAAACCAACAACAAUGACUGGGAGAAAAGCAAAAUCCUAAAAGAUUGGGGCUAAAUCAUACAGUCCAAUUUCAAAAAGGUAAAAUUUUUGUGUAAUAUACCAUACUAUGCAACACAAAAAUUGCAAGUCUAAGUUUUUUGUUCAUAAAUAGAUUUAAAAAAUGGAAGAAUUAGGACAUAAUUUUACAAUGGUUUCGUAUAGAAUCAAGCACUAUUUGACUCUUUGAAUCUUUUUCAUACUUCUUCCAUUAAAUUCAAAUUAAAUUGGUUGUUUAUUUGGAAUUAAUGGAUGAUGGCUAUGUAAUGUGCGUUAUAUCGAUGACAAGUUAUGUGAUUGCUUGUCAUAGAUUUGAGAUUUCCCCUGGCAUGAUAUUCCACUGCACUUGGGUAAGUAAGGGAGUAAGUAUAAUAUAAUUGUAAUAUCUUUUUCUUAUAGUUGAUGUUAUCGAGAAUGAGGAUAGCCAAUGAAAAAUAGAACAAGUCAUUAAAAAGCAAACCCUUGGAUGAUUUGGCAAUGAUAGAUGAGGGAGAGCUUGACUGGAAAAUAGUUACCACUUCAUUCGGAUGAUCCAAGGGCUUCCCAAGCUGAGAAGCCUUAUUCUGGAUUAAGUUAUUAGGAAAAGUAGCUUGACUUCUUGUUCCCUGUAAUGCAAAAACAUAACAUAUGCUAACAGAAAUAUAUAUUUAUUCAACUGGUAUUUUACAUUAUUUAAUUUAUUUCCUAGUAAAUUUGGUAGAACAAUAUACAUUAUAAUCAUGGAAUACACACUCUAAACUAUUGAAUUUUAAUCUUCAGGUACAUCUUCAUAAACAUGAGCGCACCAGACUCGGUUGAUGGACCAAGCAAUUGCCUGGCGAAGAUUGUUAAUCUAGGUGAUAAAGGGAGUCAUUACUUAACAAAUGAACCUAUGGAAUAAUCUGAACUCUGAAGAAAAUGAGAUUAUAUGGAAGAUAAGAAACGUCUAUCAAAAUAGAAAGAAAGAGUUUACUUCAGAAAUGUCACUAUGGGAAGAUGUUGUGCAUAAGAAUACUUCAUGGGAACAGAAGAAAUGUCACCCAAAGUUUUCAUAAAAUAGAAGGAAGAUAAUUACUUCAGAAAAGCAAAAUUGGGAUAAAUUGCAUUGGAAACUGAAGAAUGAAUCAGGCACAUGUGCAUUGGAAGAAUCGAAAGUAUAUAUAUAUUGUAAUAGAAUAGGUAUUUUUUUAGAAAAGUCUAUGACACUAACAGUAGGUUACAUCCUAAAAAGCAGCAAAAUCGCGGUUCAUACAAACUGGUCAGACAUAAGCUCCACAAUGACAGAAAAUGGUGCAAAAAAAUCAACUAAUCAGCUGUAAUAUUGCUCAGCUUCCCGCCAAAAAAGGCAAAACUGGCAUUCUAAAAAUUUCCACAAAACUCCCACUUUA